AUGUGGGAGCGUAUCCCUGUGGGCCGUAACUUGACCAUUGCUCCGGAAGAACCUUGGGAGUGGCCUUUUGACGGGGAUGAGGAGCGGUAUCCCACUAUCGCAUACACGUGGGCUACUGUCCAAGUGUCGAGUAUCGCCGCCAUGGGGCGGUACAAGGCAUACAUAAGCGAGCUUGACAUGCUUACUUACAACCAGAUGUUGUGA
rnacentral:rRNA from 1 species